GGUCAGGGAGCAAGGCUUCCUAUCCCUUUCAAGGGUCCCUCUAGCUGGACUAAGAAUCAGAUUGACCUGAGACAGAUUAACAGGAAAAAAUCAAAUUUAAUAGUGUACGCGCAGGGAAUCUACACAGACAGGCAAAAUGAGGUCUGUGUGCCAUCCUGAACUAAAGCAAAGAGGGUCAGAGCCUGGGACUUAAGAGGAGAGGUAUGUACUUCGUGGUGGGAAGAAAAGAGCAUGUUGGUAAUUAGAUGUCUGUCCUGCCGUGCAGAUGGGUAACUCACAUAAACUUUAUCUCUGCUGUUAACUCCCAUUCUGGGAGAGACCCCCGGUUUAGAUUCUUCUGUAGAGUUAAGGGAGGGGCAAAAGUUUCUCUUAACCCCAUAGGGUCUCCAUCGCCUUUAGCUCAUAAUAAUCUUCAUGUCAAAAUGGCCAGAUUGGGGCGCCGUGUUUGCGACCCCUGGCCCCACCGCCGCACCUCUGUGUCCCCUGUCCUUCUGCUUAUCUCCACGUGGAUGUCCCACAACACCUGCUGAAAUGAGAUGUGUUCAGCAUCUACCGGCCAUGUUUCCCCUAAGCCUAGUCUUCUGGCCUUUCCUGAUCCCUUUCCGUGUUACCAGAUCAAACCGGAUCUGACUGACCACCUCCCAUCCAUCUGGACCCCAGAAAAUGUGGAAAAUAUCAAGAAGAAAAGUUUAUGUUCAGCUCCAGCACUUGGCGAUGACCAUGGCGAGCAUUUUGUCACAGUGCCACAGAGUGCCUAAGAGCCAGACUGGCUCUGUUAGCGAUCAAGCCUCCCACCUGCCUCGGUGUGCAGCCCUGGACGUGCUGCCCGAGCCCCUGGGCCUCAGCGUGCUCCUCUGAGAAAGGGGGGUAAUGCAAGUACCCACCUCAGAGGGCUUGGAGAGUGUUGCGUGAAUAAUGGGAUGAGACCCUGCCUGGCUCCCAGCAUCCAGUAUGUUGUAGCUGCUAUUGUUCUUAUUAUAAAUGUAUAUAUGUUAAUUACUGAUAAAGUGUGUUUACAGAUUAAUAUUCUGCUUCUUUCCAUUAACUAUUGUAAACAUUUUCUAGGUCACAAAAUAUUCCUCAAAAAUGUGAUUUUAAUGACUGUAUAAUAGUCAAUUACUUAAAUAUAUUCAUGAUUUCUUCUGUAGGUGACUUUUCCUCUAUUUUUUGACAGUUGGGAUAGGUACGUUUCUCUGAUAACUCUGAGCCGAAAAUGUUUAUUUAUGUGUAUAUGUACAAUUAAAGUGUGUGUAUUUGUAAGUGUCUAUAUCUA